CGCAGAGUUCAUGGUGUGUGACUCUAUCAUUCAGCUCUUCCUGUGUGACUUGUCUACAAAGAUAGUAAAUUAUUAAAGUUGUCGUGCAUUUCAAAACUCA